GUCGACCUUUCUUUUCUUUUUCUUUUUUUUUUUAUAAAUGCGCUAUAUGCUUGGCAAGUAGUGUUAGGAUCAUGGACUACGAAAAACGUUUACACACAUUUUCAGUGUAAACUGGUCUACUACGGUCCAUGCCAGUUCAUGAAAAUUCUAAACGAGGGGAACAUACAUAAAUAACCAAGGCUGAUAACUGUUGGAGAAUACCUCUAUACCAACACCCUUACAAAAGGGAUGUGGAUUCAUCGCCUAUUUGAAUGACUAUUCAAAUUUUUUUUACCACAUUUGUAAGAAUGGGGAUUUAAGGAAAUACUAAGGCGUUUGCUGCACGCAUUUCACAAUGCUAGACUGGAAAGCUACAAAAAGCCACACAAGGUCACAGGAUAAACACUCUGAUGUUUUACUUUGGUUAAAGUUUGGUUAGAUUGUACGGAAAUCAGUCAUACUUGUUCGACUAAAAAGAAAUUGUAAAAGAAAGAUCGACUGAAUUUGAGAUAGUGACCUUUCUUUAUUAGAUUUCCUUAUGAUAAAAAUUUAUCAAUUUCAAAGAGCUGAAAACAGCUAUGAUUUCAUUUUGCACAUCUUAAAAAUCUCAGAGAAAAUUUAAACAAAUUUGAGUACUGUGGUUUCAUUAAUAUUCAAGGGCAUCAAUUUUCGUGGAUAAAGUGAAAAUCACAAUUUCAAGGAUACGUAAAUUCGUGGCCAAUGACCCUAUCAAUACAAAAUGGUAAUAAAAAUUGCACUUCAAUGAACAUUUGAAUUUCGUGGAUCAACUAAACAACGAAAUCCACAAAAAUUGGUAUAAAACGAAUAUUGAUGAAACCACAGUAUUCUCCAUCAAAUAAGGUCAAUUAAUUGGCGGUAAAAAACCCUAGGUAACAUUUGUGGCUGAAAUAAGCGUUAGUGUUUAGAAAAAAACAACACUAUUCUUUGAGAAAGCCGGACAUUACUCAAGGUACUAGACAUCACUGCACGAACUUAACUUCCCUAGAGGAUGUCACUUCUUAGAUCUUAAAUUUACUUUCUUUUUUCUGGCUAAGAUUGUAGAUGGCUCUUUUCUCAAUUUAAUAAUUGUACCUCUAUUGUAUUCUUUCAUCUUUUUAAAAUGUAUGAAAUUUCGGAGUGAACUACCCUGGAAAGGCCUCACUUCUUAAGGGUCCCAAGUAAAACUGCUGAAGUCUCUUCAGUUUGUUCAUCUUGGGUGGUAGAAGACUCCGUCAUUGAUGAAAUUAACCUGGAUCAUAUUAUUAUCCAUAUUUUUUUUUCAAAUGAAAGAUAUCAACUUAGCCCUUUAAACUAAUUUUUGAUAUAUUUAAUGUUGUUGCAUGCGCAGAUCUAAAAAAAAAAGGGGGGGGGGCGGGGCGGGGGUCGGCCCGUGGAAAAAUCAAAACUCUUAAAUUUACAUAUGAUUGUAAAAUUAAUCAAAACAUGCGAACCCCCACUGGAAAAAUUAGGAAUCCACCGGACUCCUCUCCUCCCCAGGAAAAAUGUUCUGGAUACGCGCAUGUUUUGUUGUUGCAAAUAUGUUCCUUUUACUUUGAGAGUAAUUGAAGUACCUAGUAACAUGUUAAACGUUUAUUUUCACAAAAUUGUUUAGCAGUAUCAUAAUUAUGAAAGUUCGGAUUGUAUUUAUUAGUCAGAAUAAUUUUUCAUAUUCUGUUGAUUUUUUCUCAUUUAUUCUUUCAGAAAAUCGUACGACAUGCAAUAAAAAUAUUAAAAGAUGCUUAAAAACCAUAAACAACAUCAUCUUUCAAAACUUUGAUCAUACACAUUUUAAGGAGCUAGAAUAAAGUCUUCAAGAACAUAUCAAUCAUAGUGUACUUUUUUUAGGGAUUAUUCAUUGUUUCUCAAAAAUAUUCAUUAUCCAAUAACUCAUAAAGUAGGUCAUUGACCUUCUUCUUGAAAGUGGAAAAUUACAAUACAAUCAAAGGUCUAUUGUACGGAAGCUUAUUGAGGCCAGCUUAGCAGAAACAAUAAUUUCUUUUGCGUUUAAACGCAAUAACUAUUGUGUUUAAACGCAAAGAACAUUGCGUUUAAACGCAAAAGUAUUGCGUUUAAUUAUAUCACUGAUUUGAAUAAGUGAUAUCACCUAUUGAAAAAGUGAUAGCAUUUAUCAGAAUUGGUAUUAUUACCUAUCAAUCACUUAUUUAUCUUGUGAUGUGAACAAGGGAUAUUGCAUAUUUGAAAAAAAUGAUACGUGUAUCACUCUUUGAGUGUGAAUGGAUGGAAUCACCUAUUCAAAUAGAUGGUUUUACUUUUUGAAAAGGUUAUAUAAGCUAUUCAAUUUGGUUAUAUCUUGAAGACAAUAAAUUUUCAUAGUAUAGCCAUCAAUGCAAUUGUUUGUGCAAGUUCCAUUUGUUUUAAUUUGUCACACGAAUCGACAUGCCUCUAUUUAUAAGGCCCCUUGGCAUAAUGCUCUUUGCGAUGAAGUCUUUUCCGUUUUUUCAAUCCAACUGUUUCUCACAGUCUAGAUACAAAGUAUCCGGCAAGCAAACAUCACUGGUGCAUCCAUCAAUAGCCAUUUUGCAUGUAAUCUCUAAGGAAGAAUUUGGAAACAAAUAUAAGAGCAGACUUAUUCUCUCUCUUGUAUUUAUUUAUAGCGCGAUCCUUCUUUUCAGGAUACGUUUGCUUAGAAGUGCCUGAUGCCUGAAGUUAUGACAACAUACUAUUUCAUUAUAAGUUAUUCCAAGUGAAAACCAGAAAUUGAGUCUUUGUGAUGUGUCAAGUGGUGUCAUCAAAUCACGGACUUGGUACAUAUACUAAGUGUAUAUAUAAGCAAAUAAAUUAAUUGCGAUUUAACGCAAAAAUCAUUGCGUUUAAUCUCAAAAUUAUUGCGUUUAAUCGCAAAAAUUAUUGCGUUUAAUCGCAAAAACGUUUGCGUUUAUUCGCAAAAUAUAUUGCAUAUAAACGCAAUAAUAGCUUUGCGUUUAAACGCAAUAUUUGUUUUGCGUUUAAACGCAAUAAUUUUGCGAUUAAACGCAAUACAUUGCCUUUAAACGCAAAACUUUGCGUUUUAACGCAAUCCACUUUGCGUUUAAUCGCACAAGCAUUUAAACGCAAAAUACAUUGCGAAAAAACGCAAAAGAUUGCAUUAAAACGCAAUAAUUAUUGCGAUUUAACGCAAAAUAAAUUAAUUUAUUCACUGAUCUGGCCUCAAUAAGCUUCCGUACUUUAAUUCUGUAUUGUCGGAAAAAUUUAUAUUGUCAAGGAAUUUUAAAUACGUAAAUCUAUUGCUGAUUAGUCCAUAAUGCAUUGACAGAAUUGAAAAAAAAGUAACACAAACAUGGAUAACAUUUAUUCAUUUAGCAUGGCUGAAGAAAAUGUUUUAAUGUUUUCACUCCAAAUACAACUUUACAGGUUUGAUUUAAAGGUUAAAGGGGAGUGACUCAAUCAAGAUCUUAUUACUGUUAAAGAGCAAAAACUAUUCAAUGAAUCAUUUUGUAUAACGUCAGCUAACUCUUGUUCCUUUAAAUGGCUAAAAACAAUAAAAAAUAAAUAUAUGAUGAAAUGUUGUAAAACUGGUCAUUUUGUGAUUUAAAAACCUGUUGUUUUAUACAAAAGGUUUAAUAUGGAGGGCAUAGUAGUUAUAAUUUCUUCUUAUCCUCUGUCCUGAUUAAUCAUAGAAACUGGAGAAAAAAAGCUCCUAUUAAAAAAAUAUCUAAAUUUAAACUAUCUAAAACAAGCAUUUAUAUUAAGAUUUUUAAUCAUUUUGAACAUAAAUAUGAUUGUUUUUAAAAAUGGUUACGUUUGUUUGAUGGUAUAAUUAUUUAUUAAUGAUUUAUAAAGACGCCCCUUUCUUCAAACAGCUAGAGAAUAUAAAUCAUUAUGAUGGGUAAAUGUGUUUCCCAUCCAACAAAUCACCCCCCCCCCUCCCUUACCCCCUCCCCUCCAAAAAAAUGGAUUAAUUACUAUGGUAUUUUAAUUAUCUAUUUAUAUCAUGAACAACUAGGGUAAAGCUCCGUUAUUGAAGCAAAACUGAAAUAUAUCUUACAGGUGACUGAAUGACAUAACUUUUCCAUCAUUAUGUCACCUUUCUAGAUUUUAAUGUUAACAUUUUGUUGAAUGACUAGUAGAAAGUGAUCCUGUGAUGGAAAUCUGUGACAGACACAGAAUAAAAUUCUGCAAUCAGAUCAACUGAAUGUUAACUGAAAAGCUGAGAAUGGUGGGUGAAUGCCAAAGCCAUACCUCUCAGCCACAUUUCAGUAAGAUUUUAGUUGACUGAAUAACACCAGCUGCAUUCUGUGAGAACAUUUGUAAUUUAAUGUAGAAUGGUCGUUCACUUUGAUUUCAAACCUACUUUUUCUUUAAAGAUACUCUCUGCUGUAUUCAGGUGGCAUGUAUGUAUAACAAAGUCUUAAUAUUGAUAUGAGUGGCAAACCGUUCUUUUUCUUAUAUCUUUAUCUUUGAUUUUUCUUCAAACAGCUAGAGAAUAGAAAUCAAUAAGAUGGGUUAACUAAGUUUGAUCUUGUAUUUAAAGCAAUAUAAGAUAAUAGUAUUGUGAUUUCUUUUCAAUUUAAAAUGUUAUGUUCCUUACAAUAUUGUUCAGUGUAAUUACUAAAUACGAUUUUGUGAGAAAAUAUGACAGUAAAUAUUUUAUUCUUUAUCAUAGGCGACCAUCGACUCUACCACCUCCGCAUUCCUUUUUUUUGUAAACUAAUUUUUUAGGUUACAUAUAUUUAAUUUGCAUGGCUGAACAAAAUAUUGAAUUCUUGCACUACAGUAUACAAUCAUGCUGAUUAAAUAUGAUGGUUAAAGGGGGACGACUGAGGCCCAAACCUCCCACUGUAAAAGAGACAGACUUUUGGGGGUAAAACUUAUCGUGAAAAAGGUCAAAUAACAAAAUCCAAUUCGCUGAAAUGCUGUAAAACUGAUUGUUUGGAAAUAAAAAUAACGAAAUGUUGUUUUAUAUAAACUAUUUAAUAUUGAUGGCAUGGUAAUUGUAAUUGCCUCCAUUUCUUCUUUUCCUAUUGAUCCUAGAAACUGGCGAAAUAGGCUCCUCUUAAAACUCUAAUUGUAAAUUGUUUAUAGUACUAUAUCUUAUGAGAUUAAAUAUAGAAUAGAACUAGACUCUUGUUGCUAUAGCAACAAAAAGGUCUUCCGUUCCUCAUGUAUUAAUCUGCACAAAAAAUCCAGUUAUCUUGUAAACAGAAAAUGGAUAUAUGUACAUUUUGUCUCUCCUCAAAGUUUGGAUGUUCAAGUUUUCGUUAGUUAUAAUAUCUCGUUG